UCCUAGCUGAGAAAGGGACCGCUGGCUGUGGCCAAGGCAUCAUUAAAAGCCGCCCGCCCUGCGAACGCGGGUUCUCUCAGCGCCGCUGCUGACUCGAAGCGUGACAUUUGCAUCUGAAAACCUGAGAAAACACUCUGAACCUGAAGUCAAAAAAGGAUUCAGAUUCCUGAGCCCACCAAGGGGAGCUGGAUGCUGCUUCAGUUCGUGUAUUACUGCCUGUGGCCUUCAUCAUCUUGACUCCAUUCUACAGGCUCACUGUAAGGCUUGUCCGUGUUGGCUGCCAGGGAGAAAAUAGAAGAACAGCGCUGGUGAAAGGCGCCAGAUGAAUAGUCACAAAUACGUCACGUCCCUUGCAGAUGCAACAUGGGCAGCACAAGCGUCUUCAAACUGCCCCGCUAACGUGCUUCAAUUCUGAAUGAGAAGGACCAGCUUUCUGGGUGAGAAAGGAGUCUGUCUCUAUUCAGUCCCUGACCCCUCCGCUCGAGGCUGCUAAUGAAGGGGCCUCAUUAACACCAAAGGUGAGGUUGGCAUUACAAUGUAGCUGCUGAUCCACAGCAGUCUGAAUUGAUACCUAUCAAUUCAUUUCGCCUGGCUAUAGAGCAGCCGUCAGAUGACAGUACCUUUC
rnacentral:lncRNA from 1 species